AGACUCUGUUCUGGCUUGGUGACAGCAUGAUCUGCCAGCUGCUUCCCUGCAGACAGCAGCCACUUGCGAAAUUCUGCUUCAGUGACAUUUUACAGUGCUGGAUGUGUGAGCGAUCGUUUGGCCCAUGUAUCCUUUAAGGGAAGAAAACAACUUCAUGACUGCCUUACCAAUUUGCAUUGGAUUAGAAUAUUGAGAUCCCAGAGGAUGUCUAACUACUCCUCUUUGGAUUCUAUAGGGUUUACUUCUGAGCAAGCUGUAGUCAAUGGACAAGUCUCUUCCUUUUUGAUCUUGACUGCCUCCUUACUGGGUCAAGAUGAAGAAACUGAGGCAAAUAAGGUGAAAUGACUUGACCAAGUCCACUAAACCAGUGAUCCUUUGUCUGGAAUGACCUCACCGCCAUCUUGCAAUACAUCACAUUAGCAAAGAGGCUGAUGGGAAGUUUUGUAUUCUAUAGCUAGAAGGAGGUACUGAAGAACUAAUGAAAGGACCUAACAACUGGGCUAAACUUGUGGCCUUUUAGUCCCACGGAGAGGAGGGACCAAGAAAGUAUGAAUACAUACCAAUGCUAGGCAAGUCAAUUGAGAGUGAAUGGUGCUGUUACCCUGAACUGAAUAAAAUAAUGAGCAAUUGAA